CUAGCUACCUCUGAAGCUACACAAGUACACUCUCAUUUUGUAAUACAUUUACAUGCUGAUUUCUAAAAUAACGCGACAAAAAUUUUUUAUGAAAAUAACACGUGA